AAUCAUUUGUCUUUUAAUUAAAGGCUUGUAUGAACGAUCAGACAAGAAAUAAGCUGUCUUAAUAGAAAUUUAUUGAAUUUAACUUUUAAGUAAAAAGGCUUAAAUACUUUAAAGUGACGAUAAGACCCUAUAAAACUUGAUAAUGUGAAUUAAGAAAUAUAUUAGAUUAUAUUAAAAUUUCUUAUAUAAGCUUUAUUUUAUUGGGGCGAUAGAAAUAUAAUAAGUAACUGUUUUUAAUUAAUUAAUAAUGAUUGUUAAUAAAAUUAAAUGAUCCUCUACUAGAGAUUAAAAGAUUAAGUUACUUU
rnacentral:rRNA from 1 species